UUCCAGACUCCUACGGGAGGCAGCAGUGGGGAAUAUUGGGCAAUGGGCGCAAGCCUGACCCAGCAACGCCGCGUGAAGGAAGAAGGCUUUCGGGUUGUAAACUUCUUUUCUCAGGGACGAAGAAAGUGACGGUACCUGAGGAAUAAGCCACGGCUAACUACGUGCCAGCAGCCGCGGUAAUACGUAGGUGGCAAGCGUUAUCCGGAUUUAUUGGGUGUAAAGGGCGUGUAGGCGGGAGCGCAAGUCAGAUGUGAAAACUCAGGGCUCAACCCUGAGCCUGCAUUUGAAACUGUGUUUCUUGAGUGCUGGAGAGGCAAUCGGAAUUCCGUGUGCAGCGGUGAAAUGCGUAGAUAUAUGGAGGAACACCGGUGGCGAAAGCGGCUCUCUGGCCUGUAACUGACACUGAGGCUCGAAAGCGUGGGGAGCAAACAGGAUUAGAUACCCUGGUAGU
rnacentral:rRNA from 1 species